rnacentral:lncRNA from 1 species
UUGUUCUUGUUUUGUUCUUGUUCUUGUUGUUGUUCUUGUUUUUGUUUUUGUUAUUGUUAUUGUUCUUUUUGUUCUUGUUAUUGUUGUUGUUGUUGUUGUUCUUGUUGUUGUUGUUGUUGUUCUUGUUGUUGUUGUUCUUCUUAUUGUUCUUGUUGUUGUUCUUGUUUUUGUUUUUGUUAUUGUUAUUGUUCUUUUUGUUCUUGUUAUUGUUGUUGUUGUUGUUCUUGUUGUUGUUGUUCUUCU